rnacentral:rRNA from 1 species
CACGUAGGGCGCAAGCGUUGUCCGGAAUUAUUGGGCGUAAAGAGCUCGUAGGCGGUCUGUUGCGUCCGCUGUGAAAACUCGGGGCUUAACCCCGAGCCUGCAGUGGAUACGGGCAGACUAGAGGUAGGUAGGGGAGAAUGGAAUUCCCGGUGUAGCGGUGAAAUGCGCAGAUAUCGGGAGGAACACCAAUGGCGAAGGCAGCUCUCUGGUACGUGACUGACGCUGAGACGCGAAAAGCGUGGGUAGCAAACAGG